GGGCAUGUGGGGGCGGGGCCGCGGCGACGCUGGGCGUGUAGGCGCAGAUGGCGGCGGCGCACGGCGCCUGAGCGGGCCGGGGCCAUGAGCGCCGCCCGGCCCCAGUUCAGCAUUGAUGAUGCCUUCGAGCUGUCCCUGGAGGACGCGGGCCCUGGGCCCGAGGCCAGCGGGGUCGCGCGCUUUGGGCCGCUGCACUUCGAGCGUCGGGCCCGGUUCGAGGUGGCUGACGAGGACAAGCAGUCCCGGCUGCGCUACCAGAACCUGGAGAACGAUGAGGAUGGAGCCCAGAUCUCUCCGGAGCUGGAUGGGGGAGUCAGCACCAGGGAUUCCGGCCGAACUUCCAUCCGCAGCUCCCAGUGGUCCUUUAGCACCAUCAGCAGCGGCACCCAGCGCUCCUACAACACCUGCUGCAGCUGGACCCAACACCCUUUGAUCCAGAAGAACCGUCGAGUGGUGCUGGCCUCCUUCCUGCUCCUGCUGCUGGGGCUGGAGAUGGGAAUCUUGCUAUGUUGCCCAGGCUGGCUUCGAACUCCUGGCCUCAAUCUUCCUGCCCUGGCUCCCUGAAGCACUGAGAUUACAGGCAUGAGCCACCGCACCCGGCGGCCCACCCUUUUAGAAGUAGUCGGGGCAAUGCACAAAGCACACAGCAGUCGAUGGUGGCCCCCCAUUCUCCCAGGCUCACUACCCCCCUUUGUUGCAGAGCCCAAAGUCCAGCUCCUCAUUCCCCCAUCCCUCUUCUAACUGGGGACCCAGGACUCCUGCACUGCCCUCUUCUUACCUCCCAUAUCCCGAUCACCUGUACUGUUAGCUUUCAGGUUCUUAUUGGUUCCUCCACUAAGGAUGGGCCAUGAGGGCAGGGACCUUUUCUGCCCUUCAGGGCGGAAUUCCCAGUACCAGGCACUCAGUAGGUGUUCCAUAAAUGUUUGUUGAAUGACUAAAAGCCCACCCCAACGAGCAAAUAAAAAUCUCUCAAGUUUCACACACUUCCCAGGGCCUGCUCAGUGCCUUGCUCUGGAAACAGAGCUUGGUGAGCUUCCUGGAGAGGGUCUCUGCCUAGGGCACCUUCAGCUCAGGUGGUGGGGGGCAUCAUUCCUUAGGGCUGAGCCGGGCUGGGGGUGGGAGCCCCCGCCCUCACCACUGCUCCUGCCCCCACCCCCGCGGCUCCGUCUGUGUGCAGUGCUGAUCCUGGUCGGCGUGGGACUGGAGGCGACCCCCUCUCCAGGUGUCUCCAGCGCCAUCUUCUUCGUGCCGGGCUUCCUGUUGUUGGUGCCUGGAGUCUAUCACGUGAUCUUCAUCUACUGCGCGGUCAAGGGCCACCGGGGCUUCCAGUUCUUCUACCUGCCCUACUUCGAGAAGUGACCGCGAGAAGUGACCGUGGCGCAGCGUGGACUCCUUGCAUCCACGUGGGCGUCUCUCUGACCCACGCCCUGUUCCGUUCCCCUCAUCUCAAGGGAAGAGGCCCUCCAGGGCCCUCAAAACCCCAGCCCCUAGGGAGUUUGCUCAGGAAGUUUGGGGAAUGCAGGCCUGGCCCUGGGAAAGCCGCCCCUCGCCUGCUCUGUGCCUUAACUUAUUCUCGGGCCAUGCGGCUGCUAGGUUGCUAUUAUUUUGUGCUAAUAAAAGAGUAGUUAAUUCCACCAGA